rnacentral:rRNA from 1 species
GUGGGGAAUUUUGGACAAUGGGCGCAAGCCUGAUCCAGCAAUGCCGCGUGCAGGAAGAAGGCCUUCGGGUUGUAAACUGCUUUUGUACGGAACGAAAAGGCUCUGGUUAAUACCUGGGGCUCAUGACGGUACCGUAAGAAUAAGCACCGGCUAACUACGUGCCAGCAGCCGCGGUAAUACGUAGGGUGCAAGCGUUAAUCGGAAUUACUGGGCGUAAAGCGUGCGCAGGCGGUUUUGUAAGACAGGCGUGAAAUCCCCGGGCUCAACCUGGGAAUGGCGCUUGUGACUGCAGUGCUGGAGUGCGGCAGAGGGGGAUGGAAUUCCGCGUGUAGCAGUGAAAUGCGUAGAUAUGCGGAGGAACACCGAUGGCGAAGGCAAUCCCCUGGGCCUGCACUGACGCUCAUGCACGAAAGCGUGGGGAGCAAACAGGAUUAGAUACCCUGGUAGUCC